rnacentral:rRNA from 1 species
UGGGGAAUAUUGGACAAUGGGCGCAAGCCUGAUCCAGCCAUGCCGCGUGAGUGAAGAAGGCCUUAGGGUUGUAAAACUCUUUCGCCGGGGAAGAUAAUGACGGUACCCGGAGAAGAAGCUCCGGCUAACUUCGUGCCAGCAGCCGCGGUAAUACGAAGGGAGCUAGCGUUGUUCGGAAUUACUGGGCGUAAAGCGCACGUAGGCGGACUUGUCAGUCAGGGGUGAAAUCCCAAGGCUCAACCUCGGAACUGCCUUUGAUACUGUUAGUCUCGAGUCCGGAAGAGGUGAGUGGAAUUCCUAGUGUAGAGGUGAAAUUCGUAGAUAUUAGGAAGAACACCAGUGGCGAAGGCGGCUCACUGGUCCGGUACUGACGCUGAGGUGCGAAAGCGUGGGGAGCAAACAGGAUUAGAUACCCGCGUAGUCCCUGAGCGGGCUGGCAAGGCGCAU